rnacentral:rRNA from 1 species
GACGAACGCUGGCGGCGUGCCUAAUACAUGCAAGUUGAGCGAUGAAGAUUGGUGCUUGCACCAAUUUGAAGAGCAGCGAACGGGUGAGUAACGCGUGGGGAAUCUGCCUUUGAGCGGGGGACAACAUUUGGAAACGAAUGCUAAUACCGCAUAACAACUUUAAACAUAAGUUUUAAGUUUGAAAGAUGCAAUUGCAUCACUCAAAGAUGAUCCCGCGUUGUAUUAGCUAGUUGGUGAGGUAAAGGCUCACCAAGGCGAUGAUACAUAGCCGACCUGAUAGGGUGAUCGGCCAAAUUGGGACUGAGACACGGCCCAAACUCCUACGGGAGGCAGCAGUAGGGAAUCUUCGGCAAUGGACGGAAGUCUGACCGAGCAACGCCGCGGGAGUGAAGAAGGUUUUCGGAUCGUAAAACUCUGUUGGUAGAGAAGAACGUUGGUGGGAGUGGAAAGCUCAUAAAGUGACGGUAACUACCCAGAAAGGGACGGCUAACUACGUG